AGAGAGAGACAUGCGCGCAUAUCAAUAAGCGGAGGAAAAGAAACUAACAAGGAUUCCCUUAGUAACGGCGAGUGAAGCGGGAAGAGCUCAAAUUUGAAAUCUUCAAGGUUCUACCUUGACGAAUUGUAGUUUAUAGAAGUGUUUUCUGUUAGUGGAGUGGCAAAAGUUCUUUGGAAUAGGACAUCAUAGAGGGUGAGAAUCCCGUAUUUGGUCAUUCCUCCUAGCGUUGUGAUACACUUUCAACGAGUCGGAUUGUUUGGGAAUGCAGUCCAAAAUGGGUGGUAAAUUUCAUCUAAAGCUAAAUAUUGGCGAGAGACCGAUAGCGAACAAGUACCGUGAGGGAAAGAUGAAAAGAACUUUGAAAAGAGAGUUAAACAGUACGUGAAAUUGUCAAAAGGGAAGCGUUUGACACCAGUGUUGUUUUUCCGAAAAUCAAUUACGAAUGUUUUGUUUUUGAGGAGUUAUGACUUCAUCGGCUUGCUCCUUUCUUUACGAAACUUUCUUAAUGCACUUUUCGGUUAACAAGUCAACAUCAAUUUCUUUUGUUGUAAAAGGGUAUGAGGAAGGUGGCUUUCUUUUCGGAGAAAGUGUUUAUAGCCUUGUGCCUCUGCAAUCGGAGAGAUUGAGGUCUGCAGCGUAGAUCCUUCGGGGUUAGAUACGUUAGAUGCUAAGCUAUAGCCUUGUAUAGACAACUUGUUGACUAUGCUCAGUCAUGUAGCUUACUCGCUUAUGCUAUUUUACCUACGCUUAGGAUGUUGAUAGUCACAGCGUGUAC
rnacentral:rRNA from 1 species